rnacentral:rRNA from 1 species
GCUACAGGCUUAACACAUGCAAGUCGAGGGGAAACGACAUCGAAAGCUUGCUUUUGAUGGGCGUCGACCGGCGCACGGGUGAGUAACGCGUAUCCAACCUGCCCACCACUUGGGGAUAACCUUGCGAAAGUAAGACUAAUACCCAAUGACGUCUCUAGAAGACAUCUGAAAGAGAUUAAAGAUUUAUCGGUGAUGGAUGGGGAUGCGUCUGAUUAGCUUGUUGGCGGGGUAACGGCCCACCAAGGCAACGAUCAGUAGGGGUUCUGAGAGGAAGGUCCCCCACAUUGGAACUGAGACACGGUCCAAACUCCUACGGGAGGCAGCAGCGAGGAAUAUUGGUCAAUGGACGAGAGUCUGAACCAGCCAAGUAGCGUGCAGGAUGACGGCCCUAUGGGUUGUAAACUGCUUUUAUAAGGGAAUAAAGUGAGUCUCGUGAGGCUUUUUGCAUGUACCUUAUGAAUAAGGACCGGCUAAUUCCGUGCCAGCAGCCGCGGUAAUACGGAAGGUCCGGGCGUUAUCCGGAUUUAUUGGGUUUAAAGGGAGCGUAGGCCGGAGAUUAAGCGUGUUGUGAAAUGUAGACGCUCAACGUCUGCACUGCAGCGCGAACUGGUUUCCUUGAGUACGCACAAAGUGGGCGGAAUUCGUGGUGUAGCGGUGAAAUGCUUAGAUAUCACGAAGAACUCCGAUUGCGAAGGCAGCUCACUGGAGCGCAACUGACGCUGAAGCUCGAAAGUGCGGGUAUCGAACAGGAUUAGAUACCCUGGUAGUCCGCACGGUAAACGAUGGAUGCCCGCUGUUGGUCUGAAUAGGUCAGCGGCCAAGCGAAAGCAUUAAGCAUCCCACCUGGGGAGUACGCCGGCAACGGUGAAACUCAAAGGA